GACGAACGCUGGCGGCGUGCUUAACACAUGCAAGUCGAACGGAAAGGCCCUGCUUUUGUGGGGGGCUCGAGUGGCGAACGGGUGAGUAACACGUGAGUAACCUGCCCUUGACCUUGGGAUAACUUCAGGAAACUGGGGCUAAUACCGGAUAGGAGCUCCUGCUGCAUGGUGGGGGUUGGAAAGUUUCGGCGGUUGGGGAUGGACUCGCGGCUUAUCAGCUUGUUGGUGGGGUAGUGGCUUACCAAGGCUUUGACGGGUAGCCGGCCUGAGAGGGUGACCGGCCACAUUGGGACUGAGAUACGGCCCAGACUCCUACGGGAGGCAGCGGUGGGGAGUAUUGCACAAUGGGCGGAAGCCUGAUGCGACGACGCCGCGUGCGGGAUGACGGCAUUCGGGUUGUAAACCGCUGUCGCAUGUGACGAAGCGUGAGUGACGGUACUGGGUAAAGAAGCACCGGCUAACUACGUG
rnacentral:rRNA from 1 species